ensembl:lncRNA
AGAGAAAGGAAAAGUCCGAGCUGUCACGGAGCAAAAACGGGAGCUGGAAGCAUGUAAAUAUAAUAAUAACCACUGCAGCCAAGAAGAGUGCCUGACGAGCCCAGCUAGAAGAAAGCUGGCAUGAAUCCUGCUAAGAAAGAAAAUGGGAGCUCAUGAGAAACAAACACCACAGAAAGAGAAAGAGAAUAAGAUCCAGAACUGAUUCCUGACGGCGUGGGAAGCCAGCACCGAAGUCUGUGCACAGCCCUCUUAGACGAGGCCGAAAGCCCUGGGACGUUUAAAUUCGGGUCCAGGCCGGUGUUUUUAGUCUGGUCCACGGUGGUGGGAUUCAGUCUGGCGAUCCGAAUCACCAGUGAGACGUCUGAGGGUGAGAGAAACACUAUUUUGUAAAACGGCCACGAAGGUUUUAAGAAACGCGUAAAAUAAAAUGAUAAAAUAGGUUAAGCUCACCAAAAGGCCAAAAGAACUAAGUUUAGACCAGUUUCAGAGGUAGCUGUUAAAUACUUCGUGACAAAUUAGCGCGCAAAUGUCUGUGUGUAUGUGUCUAGAAGUAAGUUGAUUUUACAGCACAAUACGCUGCUGAACUACUUCUAUUUUAUUUGUUUUCUUUGCUUGAGGCUCAAGUACUGGUGACAAAAGAGAACGGUUGAGUUUCGUCUCGUAAAACUGAUACCGCUUCAUUUUUUUUUAGAAGUGAAGUAGAAGGCCGUAUCAGUAAACCACUCUGGAGUCAAGCGUACCAGUGACGGCCCAGCAAAAUCUUUGAAAAUGGGGAAUAAACAAGCAAAAUUAACACCUGAUGAGGAAUGGUUAGAAAAACAGCAAACCGGAGCAGGUAGAAUAAGUGCAAAUAGGUGGAGAAAUCCACAAAAAGCUAAAAACCGCAGCUGGGAAGGGAAAUGCAAUCCCUCAGCUGUUACCCAGCUGAAAGCUGCCCUGAAACAAGAAAUUACAUUAACAAAAGACCCAAAGGAAAAAUUAAAACGUGAAGAAGAAUAUAAACUUUUCCAAGCAUGGGAAACUGAAGCUGAAAGGAGAACUGAAAAUAAGAAAAAGUAAGAGGAAAAUAAAAAACAAUUUAAAUGCGCUUCCAUUAAAGGAUUACUACCACCCAUUAGGUCUCAUGUAGAAAAGCAUUGGGUAACGCAAGAUACGGGCACAGCAGAUGAGGCGUUUCAAUAUGCUAACCAUGCACAGACAGUGGUGAAAAAGAAAGAGAAGGUCUCAGUUUUUGCCCUCGACGCUGACACUGUUCUCACAGCUUUCAGUGGAGGCUACAGGGGAGGUUUCAGAGGCCAAAAGAGAGAGAGAGGAAUGCGUAGGGCAGGAGCAGGGGGUAGAGACAGGUUUAGACACACACCAAACAGUGACUUUAGUACUACAUGCUGGAAGUGUGGAAAAGAGGGACAUUUUGUACGUGACUGUAAGAAACAAAGAAGACAGUGACUCAGAACAGGAUAGUAGCUCAGGUGAAGAGAACAGUUCAGACUAGGAAGAACAUAAUAAUCCCUCACCAAGUAAAAAAUUAGAGAUCUAAGUAUAAGUUUAAAAAGGGGCUGGAAACAGACCCAACUGAAUGCAUAUAAAUGCAAGAGGAAUAAAGUUAAAUAAAACAACUGUAAUGUAUUCAAAUUGAUAAAAGCAAGGAUAACAACCUGUAAACUGGUAUUAACAAUGAAACAUAGUUGGGAUGAAGACCGUGCCCAGAAUGAAUAGAACGAAAGAAAAUACAUAACUCACACAAACACAUAUUAAAUGAAAUAGAGAGAUGCAUAAGGUAUAUUAAGGUUGUGUCAUUGUUCAGCCAAGGAAAGUGUGUGAAAAGGAAAAUGUCUCCAGCUUGGGAAGGGGUGAGACUGCAGCUCACCCUCAGCCCUUGGUGGACACAAAUAAAAUAUAAAUAAAAUAUUGUAAUGUACUGUUGCUGUUAUAUAAAAAGAUAAUAACAUUAAUAAUAACAUAAUAUUAAUAUGAAGAGGCACCUCAGUCAGCUAUGAUGUGAGGUGGAUAAUUGUUAAAAGUAAUCUGCAUCAAGCUUAAGGUUGCUCAAAUUCAGUAUAAUGACAUAUGAAAUGAAGAAAAUAAAGAAAAUAUGUAAACUACUUAAGUGCAUAGAGGCACUUGACCUGCUCGAAAACCUGUCAUCCUAGAUGAGACAUUGCUGAAAUAUAGAGCACACCUAUAUUAACAACUAAAAACCCUGUAUACAACAGCUAAAGCUACACAAUUGAGAAGCUGAAUUAAAUAUGUGGUCACUGCUAAGCUGAUGAGCAGGUUACACAUUUUUUAGAGCAGGAGCUACAUAGGAACACAUCAGAGGGAGGGAAACAGCUAUUAAAGCUCAAACAUGAAGCUGUCUGUGGGCUCAGUUUUGUUUUUGUUUUUGUUUUUGUUUUUUUUUCCCCUCACGCUUCUGAUUUGUCUUUGGCAGCAGCCUUUUUGCAUCCUGACUCGUGUGUAAAGCGUUCAAGCCAUUGGUAACUUGUUUUUUGUUUUGUUUUGUUUUUUGUUUUGUGGGGUUGAAAAAUGAAUAAAUCUGUGAUCAUACUUGUGGAUCACAGUGGCACAUAAUGAUUAGGCAUAUGAUUUACUAAUGCAGAUGUAAUAACUUUAUUCUAAAAUUCAGGGAGAACAAACAAGAACAACAUCUUCAGUUGUGUCUUGUUGUUGUUCUCUGUGUAGUGUGCUGAGUUUUGUUUUUUGUUUCUUUUGUUUUUUGAAAUGUUGCUUGAGUGAUGACUACUGUAACUUCUGAAGUAGCUCUCACCAUGCGUCCUUGAUGAUGAUAAGUCCAGAGCCAGCCGAGAGCUGGGUUGUCUGUUUUUUGUUUUGAAAUGUAAUUUUUGUUUUGAAAAAAAAAAAGGGGGGGAGGUUUUGUGUUUCUCAGCAAAGAACAACUACAAUUUCAUUUUCUGUUUUUGAGAAAGGAGAAUUUAUAAUAAUAAUAAUAAUAAUAAUAAUAAUAAUAAUAAAACAAAGAGUGAUGUUUUGCUUAAGUGUUGAAGCAGGCUAAUACUGCAACAUAUAAAUAAACUCCAAUUAUGGAGACCUGAAGUCACAUGCUUAGGGCACACCCUCAGGUGAAGGCAGAAAGCUACUAAACAAAGAAAAGAAGCUAUACAAAAUGCGCCACAGCCACAAACUAAGCAUUCAUAUUUUUUCUAACUCUUAGUGAGCCUGAGUUAUGACCUUGGCUCCCUGUUUUUCUGCUUCCACCAAAGGUGGGGGUGACGCUCCCGUGGCAUGUGCUCUGUUCUCUUUACUAUCACAAAGAAAAAAAAAACAGAGAGAGGCCCCUGCUCUCUGAAUACAAUAUUCUCUUCAUAACUCGGCAGUAUGAAAUGUCAUGAAACAGUGUAACUCACUCACAGUAAAUCAGCAGUAUAGGAUAAUACAAACCUAUCUAAUAAAUCUAAUGAUUUUCACAUUCUUUUAACUCAGAAGUGUGAUGUGGCCUACAGCAGUAUCAUGAUUCACUCAUUUUGAUUAUAGGUAUAAUGUAAUAUAUGACAGCAUAAUAAUCUCACAACUGCUACAAGCACAUUUGCCUUUCUUAACACACGCGAGAGAAAGGCAACUGUUGAGAAAAUGCUCUUUUGGGUGAGACAGGCCCAGAGGCCUUGGAUGCAAGCUACUAAUACACAUACAUGCAAUGAAGAACAGCUUACACUACAGCACACACUAUACAUGCGCCUAUAUCCCUCAUUAGUGUUAAAACAGGGAAAACUUAAUAGUUUUGUUAUCAAAUGCUGAAGUUUAUCCACUACUAACAAAUAAACUCUCUGGGUUGCAGGACAACAACUUCAAAAAGAACGACACUGGUAUGACCAACCAGUGAUGAAACAACAAAUUUAGUGGUUAAGAGUCAAAUUGUGAGGUGUUUUCUGCUGAUUGAAUCAUACAAGUGAUUACUGAAGGAAGGAAAAUUCCUUUUUUGUGCCUUUAAACGUGAUCUUAUGAAUUUUAACAUGUACCUGUGUUGUCCUGUCAGCUUGGUGGGUUAUGAGUUGAUUAUAUUGUGAGGAAAAAAAAAAAGGGGGGGGGAGAGAAGGCUGACACAGGGCCUGGCCCGGUGUUUCUCCCCUCUCUGAAUCACACAGCCAACACAACAUCAUCUUCCUGUUCGUCUGUUUUUGUUUUGUUUUUUGUUUUUCCCUCUCUAUGCUUGAUUACAGGCUGCUUUGCCGGCCCUGAAAGCCGAAGCUGACCUGGACUCCUGCUCUCCCCUCUACCAUCUCUGACCCUGACCAAAUGCUGCAGCAGCUGGACCCAUAACAACAAUCUAAAAAUGUCAACAGUGCUACAGGAAAGCGAUCUCAUGCAGCAGAGACGGAGAACGUUAAAUCCAAGGCCCGUUUCACUACACGGGGGAGAUUUCCAGACAGCUUCAGCUGACAGACCUGUGACGAGACGCCCAUUAAGCCCGAAUGAAAAGUAAGGCCGAGCAAAAGAAUGCUGACCUUGAUAACUUUGCAUUAACACUGUGCAGGACAGUGAUGGACCAACACGGAUGAUCGGGCAGCAGAAGAAAGGGCGUGCCAGAGACAGGAGGAGCAACUGAGGUCAAAAGGCACCUCAGAAUGGACAAAACACAGAAGAAGAAAGGACUGCCCCAAUUGGGGCCAAAACCAGGACAGACUGAACUUUGAGCAGCAGCAGCAAUGGUCGCAACCGGACUGAAAAGGAGGAGGGCAGGACCCCAGGGCACGCUUCAGGCCGUGGUUUACCCAAAACACCAGAACAGGAAAGUGAUAAACACGCCAACAUACAAACAUACACAUCUACACACACUGACUCAAAAUGAAGAGAAACACACACCUGAACAGACGUGCACUUGUUGAUUGAGUGAGAAAUGACACACACACACAUCAGACAAUGUACACUCAUCAAACAUGACUGAUGCCCUGAACGCCUUGAGACAGAUCCAGCAGGCCCAAAAUCAGGCCUAUGUAA